ensembl:lncRNA
CUGGGAUCAAGUGGCAGUUGCAGCUAACAGUCUGACUUGCCACUGGGCUUGUCAUAAACAGGAAAAUUAAUAGAGACAUGGUGUCCUGUGCCUGGUGCCAUCAGCAGUAGCUCCCAACUGCAAACGUGCAGAUGUACCCAGAAUAACACAAUCUUGAUUAAAACUGGCUGAUCACAUGCUUUUUACAAUGGAAAUAUUUAAUAUUACAGCCAGGGGUAUUACAUAGUGAUUUGAUAUUUGCAUAUAUUAUGAAAUCACCACAAUAAGUUACUAUCCUCCCAAAGUUAUUACAAUAGUGACCAUAUUCCUUAUGCUGUAUAUUACAUUGGUUUAUGUACUUUAUAACUGGAGGUUUGUACCCUUUAAUCUCCUUCACCUAUUCUGCUCCACCCCUCCUGGGAAACCACAGAAAACUAGUUUGUGUCUGCAAGUCUCUGUGGUUUGUUUCUUAUAUUCUACUUAAAAGUAAAACCAUAUGUUUCUCUCUCUCUGACUUACUUCACUUAGCAUAAUAUCCUCUAGAUCCAACCAUGUUGCCACAAAUAGCAAGAUUUUUUAAUGUCUAAUAUUCCACUAUAUAUAUAUAAUGUCUAAUAUUCCACUAUAUACACACACACACAACACACCCACAUCUUCUUUAUCAGUCCUCUAUUGUAAAAAUGCUGCAAUGAACACUGGUGCAUAUAUCUUUUCAAAUUCGUAAAUACCUAGAUUAUACAGCAGUUCUGUUUUCAAAAGUUUUCAGGAAACUUCAUACUGUUUUCAUAGUGGCUGAAUCUACUGACAAUCCUACCAGCAAUGAAUGAGGGUUUCCUUUUCUCCACAUUCCCAAAACCCUAUUUGUCUUUUUGAUAAAAGCCAUUCUGACAGGCAUGAGGUGUGGUUUUGAUAUGCAUUUCCCUAACAGUUUGAUACGCAUCUCCCUAACAGUGUUUCAUCAGAAACACUGGGCUGGAUGAAGCACAAGCCGGAAUCAAGAUUGAUGGGAGAAAUAUCAAUAACCUCAGAUAUGCAGAUGAAACCACUCUCAUGGCAGACAGUGAAGAAGAACUAAAGAGCCUC